rnacentral:lncRNA from 1 species
UUCUGCAUCCUGCAUCCAGGUUAGGGUCUAGACUAGAAAACAGAGUCAGGAGUUCUGCCCUACCCUCUCUGUGUGCCAGCAGACUCUGGGGAACCCCAGACUGUGGCUUCUGACUCACUCUGUGGAGACUACUAUUCUUCCCUGAGAUCAAACUCCGAUCCAGUUUUGGAAACACAGCAGGACAGAUGGCAAGGAUCAAAAGACGCUUGCUGAUGGGUCCCAGUGACAAACUGAGACACGAUUCAGAGUGAACCAACGUUCACUCCAAAGAAUCAACGAAUUGAUUGGGCUUCCUUACAGAGCCUAGGUGAGGGCUUAUUCACAGCAGUGGGGGCACACCUUACCCAACUGGCUACACCUGGAAAGCUGUGCCCAUCAGACACGAGAGCCAUUUCCUGUAACUGCAUGAAUGGAGCCCUGUCUCAGGAUUUCUGUAUAAGAUGGCCCCUCCCCCAGGCUAUUUG